ensembl:snoRNA small nucleolar RNA, C/D box 19
GAGCUAUGAGGAUUUUAAAGGAAUCCGAGAUUCCAUUGAAGACAUAAGAUCCAACUCUGAGCUCACGGAAAAG